rnacentral:misc_RNA from 1 species
UUUCCGUAGGUGAACCUGCGGAAGGAUCAUUACUGAGUGUGGGCCCUCUGGGUCCAACCUCCCACCCGUGUUUAUUAUACCUUGUUGCUUCGGUGAGCCCGCCUCACGGCCGCCGGGGGGCAUCUGCCCCCGGGCCCGCGCCCACCGAAGACACCUAGAACUCUGUAUGAAGAUUGCCGUCUGAGCAAAAACUAAAUAAGUUAAAACUUUCAACAACGGAUCUCUUGGUUCCG